AGAUGGGAGAGUGAUCUGGCUGUGACAUCUGUCACCCCACCUCCCGCGUCACUCCAUGCGCCCCCCCACCGGGGCUUCGCUCCCAGUAAGAGACGACAACCUUCCCCGACAGAGGACUGUGCUUUGGCCAGGGGUACAGGAGUAGGUGCCUUCCCCUGCUAGAACCUCCAAACAAGCUCCCAAGAUAGGUUCCGUGCUUUGAAAUAGUGGCCCUCUAGCUCUCCCCAGCCACCAAACAAUCAACUU
rfam:Sus scrofa chromosome X.